rnacentral:rRNA from 1 species
CCUACGGGAGGCAGCAGUGGGGAAUAUUGGGCAAUGGGCGCAAGCCUGACCCAGCAACGCCGCGUGAAGGAAGAAGGCUUUCGGGUUGUAAACUUCUUUUCUCAGGGACGAAGCAAGUGACGGUACCUGAUGAAUAAGCCACGGCUAACUACGUGCCAGCAGCCGCGGUAAUACGUAGGUGGCAAGAGUUAGCCGGAUUUUCUGGGUGUAAAGGGCGUGUAGGGGGGGGAGCAAGUCAGAUUGGAAAACUAUGGGCUCAACCCAUUGCCUGCAUUUGAAACUGUACUUCUUGAGUGCUGGAGAGGCAAUCGGAAUUCCGUGUGUAGCGGUGAAAUGCGUAGAUAUACGGAGGAACACCAGUGGCGAAGGCGGACUGCUGGACAGUAACUGACGCUGAGGCGCGAAAGCGUGGGGAGCAAACAGGAUUAGAUACCCGAGUAGUC